AUUGAACGCUGGCGGCAGGCUUAACACAUGCAAGUCGAACGAGUGGCGGACGGGUGAGUAAUGCUUGGGAAUCUAGCUUAUGGAGGGGGAUAACUACGGGAAACUGUAGCUAAUACCGCGUACCAUAGGAUGAGCCCAAGUGGGAUUAGGUAGUUGGUAAGGUAAAGGCUCACCAAGCCGACGAUCUCUAGCUGGUCUGAGAUGGUGACCAGACACACUGGGACUGAGACACGGCCCAGACUCCUACGGGAGGCAGCAGUGGGGAAUAUUGGCAAAUGGGCGAAAGCCUGAUGCAGCAAGGCCGCGUGUAUGAAGAAGGCCUUAGGGUUGUAAAGUACUGUCAGCGGGGAGGCGUUACCCGCAGAAGAAGCACCGGCUAACUCCGUGCCAGCAGCCGCGGUAAUUC
rnacentral:rRNA from 1 species